CUUGCCUGAAAGCAUUUGUAAUCUAAAACCGUGCUGUGAUUCCCACUGAAGCCAUGGGAAGAUUGGAAACAAUAUUCUUCUGAUGCUCAGUGCGCUCAGCCCGCGUGCGUGUGCGGCUGUUGCAGUGGAGGAGGAGGACAAACUUUGCUACCUGUGAGACGAAGGCUGGUAGCACUGGAAAUGAAAACAGUUCCAUUUACGAUACUGUUCUCAGGCUCCAUAAAUGAACACCUUGAUGGCUUCAUUGGGAAUUCCUUAUGGAGAAGAAGGAGAAAUGAUCAUCUGAGUUCUCCUGAAGAUGGGAGUCAGGACCAGACAGGCCCCAGCAACGUUCCUAAGGCACAGAAUGUCACCUGUCACCUCUUUUCCUCCUACAGUUCCUCACCAAGGUUCAGGUGAAUGUUGGCUGAGGGAGAAGGAAUAAAGCAGUGUUUUACAGCAACCCAGCGGCACAGAAGGAUCUGCCAGUACUGGUGAAGUCCCUUCUCUAAACCAGACAACAGAAGCUGCUUUCCCAGUUUAUGGUUGCUCCUUCCCACUGGCAAACGACCUCGGGGGGGAUCUGCUUAUCUGCUUCCAGGUUGUGCCUGCUGCGAGGUGGAGACGAAGAAGUGCGCAUCCAUCCUUUUUUGCCUUCUUGCUGCAAACUCACCAACAAGGCCAUUCAGGACUGAAUUCAUUCCCAGAUCUCCUUUUGGCAGCUGGAUGAGAAGGGAAUGCCACCACAAAGGAGGGAUCGCUGAGGCGAGGCUGAAGUUGUGUUCAAAGGCAGCAGCAGUGCUGUGCAUUGCAGAUGUCAUAGAAUCACCGCCGUGAUCAGUCAGCCUCUUCCCUGGAGUGACUCUGAGUUCUGACUGCACUGGGGGAAAUCAAGACCUGAGCAGAUCCUUUUUUAUUUCCAUUCAUUCUCAGGGUGGUUCUUCUCAAACCAAAAGGAGCAGUCAGGUGAGCCCAGUAUUUCGCUUUCCUGCAGAUCUAUGCGUGCAGAGUGAGAACUGAUGUGUGGGAGCAAUGCUGGACACCUCUGAAUCCCAGGGACUGAGGUUUUUGGUGGUUCCAUCACCUCCUGACCACGAACCCACCAAAGGCAUUAAAACACGCCUUUUGCUCUUUGUCUCCUGUGCAGUGCCGCAGAUUGGCUUGCUUUGGAGCUGGCAUUUAGCGAUUAGAACUUUAUAAUUUUCUCCUUUAUUGGUAAUGCCCUCACACUGUCAUUUGGAGCUGAAAGGAAAGCAUGCUGCUCGAGCUGGCCCCACCGGGCGCCGUGAUAAUGCUCUUAUGAGUGAGACUGUCAUUAGAUUAAGUGGAAGAUGCCAGUAGAGUUGUUCUCGAUGGCCGGCCUCUCUUUUCUCCGCACGGCGCUCGGAGUCCAACUAUACUUUUUCUUUCACAUUUCCAUAUUGUCCCUCCUUUAUGCCUUGUCAAGAGCAUUAGUCACAGCCAUCCAUCUGCAUCAUAUAUCGCAGCCGAGACAAAGCCAGCGGGAUGUGUGGCUGCUCAGCACCCUCAGCCCCGCCGCGGCACAGGGCUCAGGUCCCUCGUGUGAACAGCAAGCAGUGGGGCAGGGAGUGAGCAUCUCACCCCGUAUGCUGCGUGGCAGUCCUUCUCCUGGAGCUGGGCUAUUGGACUCACCUCUCAUGUUUUUGCAGGUAUAAAAGGGAAGCGAUGCUCGUUAGGGCAGUGUGGGUUCCCAUUCCGGAGCACGCAAAGCCUUCAGCUGGACCUGAAAGCCGGGCAGUGUGCUGGGGUUUGCUCCAGGGCACCACCCGCAGCAUUGGCUUUUCUGGUGCAUGGCAGUGCUGAAUUUGCAGACUGUAGGUUUGGAUUCCCCCUGGGAAGUGCUCAUCUCAUGAAAUGUGGUGCACAAAGCAGAGAAAGGCGGGUGCUGGCUGGCUGUCAGUGGGAGAGGGUUGGAGAUGAAGAAGUGGAAGGAGGGCUUAAGGAGAGCGAUGGAUUUCCUGCGCCCAAAUAACAAAGAAGAGGGAAGAAAACCAACACAAAUGUAAUUUUGUCCUGGCUCAAUGAUGCACUGUCAGUCACUGAGGGAUGAAUUGUGCUGUGCAGCAGUAGUCACCUUCCACGAACGCUUCAGGCUUGAUUUAAUACCCCUCUUCCUAAAAGUAGAAGGUGAAAAAAUGGUUUAGGGGCACACACAGCAGAGCCGGGGGGGGGGGAGAAAAAAGAAGUAGUAAAUAAAAGUUGUUUAAUAUGUAUCACUAACCCCACUGUGGUGGGAGAAUGAGGUGGGAGGGGGGGGGGUCCGGCAUGGCUGGUGGGCGUCAGACAUGUGCCAUGGAUGGGGCUGGGAGGGGAGGGCAGGGAGGGAGCGUGGCUGUCUGCAUGCGCCCGCAUAGCACUUCCUCUUUAAAAUUCCCUUACUAAGCUCAGCUCCUAUAUUUUAUAUUCAGAACGAAGGUUCCCGCCCCCCCCCAGCCCUCCCCACCCACCACCACCCUCUCUCCCUUUAACUUGUUAAGUUUGAAAGAUGAUAUAUACACACAGUUUGCUUUGCCAGUCAGCCCGUUUAAGGCCAAGAUUAAUGCAGUGCAUUGGUGCAAUCGUGCCGCAGUGGUGCGUGAUCGGAAUACGAGAUGGAAUACAGGGGGAAAGGCCAGAACUGUGCCUGUAUUCCGAGUUUACACAAGUCUCCUUAGCAACUUGUCUGAUUUUUAUGUAUAAACGUAUAUGUGUUUUGUAUGGGAUACGUGUGCGUGCACGCACUGUCCCACAUCACCAGCGGAUAAAACACCCCCUAAGUUUUUUUUAAAUAGCUCUGCUUGUUGCUCUUGUUUCGUGUUGUCUUAUUUUUGUUUUUCCUUCUCCCUUCCCUUUUUGUCAAACGAGCGGCUUAUUAAUUAAUUAAUUAAUUAACUUAUUUAUUUAAUUUCCCGUGGAGCGUUGGGGGGAGGGGGGGACCCGCGGAGAGGUGGCAGUGGGGCUAUGGAGGGGGUUGGGGGGGGGGGGGGGAGCACCGUAAUACUUUGCAUUGUGACUUCUCCAGAGUUGGUUCCUUUCCAGUUGCUCACAUCUCAGCAUGUGGAAUUAUUGCGCUUUCUCCCCAUUUGCCACAGAGUUGGCAGCGUGCUGACAUGGUUCGUCCUUUCAGUUCGGUUUGGAGCCAAGCUGAUCUUUAUUUUCAUUUUAUUUCAUUUUAUUCUAUUUUAUUUUAUUUUACUGGGGGGGGGAAGGCGCGUUUAUUUAUUUCGAAACAAAUUCUUUCCUUCUGAAAAUAUGCACCGUGCGUUUCCUAGCCUGUAAAAUGGAGGAAGGAGGGAAACAAAUGAGAGAAGGUGAGAGGAUUGUGGCACGGCUGUCCCUUCAUUCCCCUCCCCGUCCCAUUUUUGUAGUUGCCUACAGAAGAACCCCCCUCCCCACAGGAGGGAGUGGCCUUAUAGCGAUGAAGGGAACACAUGUAGGAAAGGGGGUAUUUUGGAAAUGUUUGAGGCACUCUCGGUAAGUGAAUGUUUACCACGACUCAGGGCAGGCACUGUGUUUUGCUGAGCUCGCCCCGCAGUGCCGUAUGUGGGAUCGUGAAGGUUGAAGGCCUUUCUGUCUCCUUUCCAAGUCUUAGCAGCACUGUAAGAACAAGAAUCCCGCUGUUUAUACAGUAGAAGUUCUAACGAAGCACCGAGACGCUCCAUCCCGUGGCUCCUUUGUGUUCUGUCUGUGCUUGCAGGUCUGAUCCCCCUCCUUUGCUAUGCUCUGCUUUUUUAUUUUCCCCCUUUUGGUUUUUGAUUUCUGCUUUCCGAUUUAAUCAUCAGCAGAGCGAACAGCGCAGCGUGGGGAGCUCUGGGCCGAAAGAGUUAAAGUUUCUUGGCACGGGAGCAGCAGUUUAGCAACAGAUCAAUUCAUUUAAAUGAAAGAAAUCACAGACCGAGCCAUCUGAUUUUGAAAUUUCACAUCUUAUGGCUCCACUUUAGAACAAAGCUUCUGUUUUUCUUUCCCCUCUUAUUAAUAAUUCACGCCGCUUUUGUUUCAGCCCGUUGGUUUUCACGGGAGCUUUCGGUUGUCUGUAGCCUGUCUUUCUUUUUUUUCUUCUUUUUUUUCCCCCUCUCUAUUUUCCCUCUUAAAAUAUGAAAUACCGGGGCUGCGUUCGUCUUCUGUGCCUCGCUCUGCUGCAAAGCCAGCCGUAAACCUCUGCUCAGCACAGCUGGUGUCGGAGCUGUUUGCACCCUGGGUGAUCGCCGCUUGGAAACAGCUUCCAUGCGCUGCCCGGCGGGCUGCACACACCUCUGUGCGCUCAGCCGUGUGCACAGGAGGGAUUUCUGUGCCCGGAUCCAAGGUGCACAGCCGGCUGCAGGCAGUGUGUGCGCACCGACAGGCAGAAGGGCUGCGUUGCUCUGUGCCUUACGGUGUAUCCGUAUCCUGGGUGGGAGCCCUUGCAGUGUGUUUCACGGCUGGGCAAAGUCUGGGGAGGAUCGCGAGCGACUUUGGGUGGCUUUUUGGUCAUUGAAAUGCGUUGGGCUUUGGUACCAACCCCAAUCAGUUGUUUUUUUUUUUUUCCAUUAAGUAUAAUGAAAUAACUAAAUUCACCUACAGUAAUUUUUUCUUUAAAUCACAUCCCAUCUUUGACACAAUCUCCUUAAUAAUAAUAAUAAUAAUUAAAAAAAUCAUUCUCUCCUGAUAAAUGAAUGCUUUUGGUGCAAUGGUUUGCAGCCCCUGACCGGGGUGGGGUGGCAGCUUUGGCACUGCAGUGCUGAGCCUCUUCCCAGCGGCGUUGGGUGCAUGGGGGGGGAUCCCUUUGUUCGGCCGCUCCCCAACCUCAGCUCCCCCCGCGAGAGAUCCUCGGUGGGGAGGAAUGGUUGUAAGUGGAUUUUAAGAGUGGGAAGGGUUGGGGGAGGGGGGCGAGGUAGCACCCUGCACCCAUGGCUGGCUGUAGAUGUGGGCGCUUUUAUGGCUCCCUGCCCUGAUGCCAGAUCCCAACCGCGUUGCAGGGAGACGGCAGGGUUCGGAGCGCCGAGCCCGUCCCCCCCAAUAUCGGACUAUUUCUGUGGGUGUCGUUGUGGUUACAUCACAGCGCGCUCCUUCCUCAUCUCCAUUCUUGUGCAAAAUUCAAAUAAUUCCCCCCCCUCCCCGAUAGCAGCUGUGCAUGGUUUUUUAAGUCGGUCUUUAACGUUGCGAAAGGAACAAUAAAAUGAAAGGCAAAACCGGCAUCUUAAAACUUGGCAAGUGAAAGCAGCUUGGACUGGCAGCCAAGAAUCCUGCUGUGGUGCAAAAAGAAUAGCAUCCACGAAGCCACCACAAUCCGGGGUUUCGCUUCUUUUAACAAUCGCAUCGGCAGCGAGAAAUAAUUAUUCCUUGUAUCAGUGUUAAAAGAGUCAAAAAGCUUAAAAUGCUUGCUUGGUGAACCUUCUCAAAAGCAGAAAGCACUCCUCGUCCAGUUGGGCCUAGCAAUAUGGCAGCGCACAUUCGAUGCUGAACCCUUGCUCCUCCUGUUCUUGGUCUGAAUUUUGGGCGCUGGGAGCUCUGGAAAAGCUGAAUGCUUUUGAAGGAAGAAAUGCUGUCAGAUAGCAGAGUUGGAGCUGGGGGAAUUCUCUGGAUCGGUUCGUGAAGCGAAAGGAUCCUUUCUCUUUAAAAAUAGAAUGACAAUAGCACCCCGGCCCAGAAAUGACUCCUCUGAAAGUUAAAACAACUCUGAGGCAGUUGCUGUCUGCUUCCACCGGGCUGCCAGCGUGGAAAUGAGACCACUUCUUGCGGGAUGGGGAGGUUGAAAGAUUCGGAGCUCAACAGUCUUUUAGAAACAUGUUAGCAGAAUUGGAGUCGGGUAGAAAAAAUACAACCAUCCCCUCUCUCUGCUGAGUCACUGUCAGAAUAGACCUUCUUGGGUUUGAAGGGUUGAGGAUAAUGAGUAAUCUGGACGGAGCAGCUUUCUUCCAAGGACCUCAGAACUCUCUGCAGAUGUGCUUCUCUCUGCAAAAUGGCUCUCACUCCAUUUCUGUGAGAACUCUUCCCGCAAACUGGGUCCCUAAGAGGAUUAGUGAAGGGGAUACCAAUUUAUUUAUACUCACCUCAGCAUGGUAGCAGCCAAACACUGUAAGUUGCUGGAUUAUUAAAUGGCCUGUAACACAUGAAAGAAGCUUCAAUCUUCUGGUGCGGUUCAGAGUGGACAGGUGUUUGCUGCACAGCUGCUCUGAACUGAUCCCCAAUUUUGGCAAGGUUUUUUUUCCUUUUUGACCUGCUCACACUGGUAAGAUGAACAGGUGUGCUCGGAAACAAAUGGACUGUGGAGAUUUGGUCUCUUUUUAAGGGCAAGACCAAUUUUCAGGCCUCUUUCAGUUGUACUUCGCUGGGGGGAAGGAAUAAAAGAACUAAAGAGAGGUAUGGAGAGUUAGGGAAACCCCUCAAACUUUGUUUAAAUUACACAUUCCUGGCACUCCCAGUGCUGGGUGAUGCUGCCAUUUGUGUUUUCUUCUAUAGUGCCUGGCUUGCACGGUCCCAAGCAGAGUUAAAUGCAUGUCUAUGACCACAAGAGGAUGACGCCUCGGUUUCUCUGUGCCAGCCUGGAGGCCCUUAGGUGCUGCAGUUUAAGUCCUUGAAAAACAAGGUUGCUGGACUCUAGUAAAUAGUGUCCGGAUGUUAGCGAUGAUUCAUAAAAGCAAUUAAAAAAGGAAAGUGCCUUGCUGCUGGGCGUAAUGUCUUGAAGAUGUCCUUAAGAGUGUGUAAUGCUGCAGACAGUGGUCAGUGGGUAGUGACCGCUGUGCUUAAGAUUACCAAUCUGUUUCCAGCAUAACUCUUCUUUUCACUUGGUUCUCAUGGUCAAAACUUAUUUUUUUUUCUUUUUUUGGUAGCUGAAUUUUCCUUAUUUAGCCAUCGCUGCAAAAUAGUUCCCAUCCCUUCCUUCUUAAAUCUGUGAAGAACAUCUACUGAGAAUGUAAUAUUUUCCAUGGGAGAAAAGUGCUUUUUUGAAAUUUAAAUACUGUGGAUGGCAAAUAAUUGGAAUUCAUCAAACAUGAUUUAGCUGUGGGGUUGGGUUUUCUUUCAGUGCUACCCUCUUGCCUUACAGCCCUGACCUUCCACAAGGCGCAGAGCAGCCCACUUGUGGUGCCAUUUGCAAUAAGCAAGACAGAACUGUGUUACAACACGAUUGGGAUUCUUGCUGUGUGCAGAGAUGCCCAGAGUGGCCACACGGCCUAAGCAAGAGGUAGGCACGCUCUGCAAACAUCUCCCUGCGUGGCUUUUCCAGUCCUUAACUAACCUGUGAGCUCCCAGCCAUGCUGCUAGCUCUGCCCAUUGCAUUGACUCCUCCAGCUGGACGCCUUUUGGUUCUCUUGGUGUCUGCACGUGGUCCAGAGCUGGGGCUUGGCUCUGCUGUGCCCUUCAUUAGACCAGGCAUAUAUGCUAAGGGAAGCAAAAUAGUUUACUGAUUUAUCAUGGAUCAUUAGAUGGAGUAACUAUUCUUAAAACAUCACCAGUAUAGAUACAAUAAUUAGAGAUGUGCUUUUGUUAACAUUGCCAGCCUCUACCCUCUUGUACAGUACCCUUGGGUACUAAAUAAUUACCCACUUUGUGUGGUUAUCUAGCUCACUAAUUACCCACAAAAAUUGGGGUCAGGUGUUAACUGCUUGAAAUAAGUAUCCUCCAAAGACUUGGUUAAAUUGUGUAAAGAAAUUAUGUGUUUGCAGCAAAACUUAGGAAAAAAAAAAAAAGAAACUUUUUUUUGUUGUUGGAAGGAAAAGGGGAACACAGAAAAGACAAUGGAUGUAAAUGGUCCUCUGUGAUGGCAACAUCUUGCACACAGCUAUGGUGCUGGGGAUGGAAUCUGUAAGGGGAGAGAAAGGAUGGCUGGCGGAUACAGUCUCUCUCAUCCUCUGCUUUUCCCAUAGAUUAGAUCCCUCAGUACAUAGAGUGAUUCUUCCCCUAUCUAGGCUGGUGUCAGUCGGGGUUGUGUCGGUAUAAAUGAGAAAAUUUGUAUGCAUGGAUUCCUGGGCUGCCUUUACUGCAUAAUUCCCCCUCCUCUGUCACUCAGGGACUUCUGCAUUGCACCCAAUAAUUGAAUUAUGCAUUGUAUAUGUAUUUCCAUAUGUUUAUUUUAGUUGUUUCGAACUCUGUGUGCAUGCAGAAUCUCAUUCCAGGGCUGCUGCUCGUAAAAUGUAGCUCGCUUUGAGUAAUAAUUUAAUUCCUGCGUUCAGGGAGUUACCCCAGUGAGUCAAAGAUUUCUAGAUAGCCCCACCCUCCCCAACUUCCCGAACACUUACACUGCAGUCACUUUCUCUUUGCCAGACCCACACAAGACGCCGAGCCAGCCAAAAUCCCAGGAGGCAGCUUGUCCUGCCUGCCCCGUUUUAGCCCCAGGGAAAUAGGAAAUAAAGCCCCGAGAGCCCCGAAACCAAAGCCUGUGAAAUACCUGGCAUAGAACAGAAGGAUAUUGAAUAGCCUGGCCUCCUAACCUGGUGUCUCACACUGGGGCUCGCUGUCUGCGGCACAAAGGAAAUUGAUGUAAGUGGGAACGAAGAUGAUUCUGAAAAUCCCACUGUGCGGCCCCGGGAUCUCUGGCCGCACGGAUGCCCUUAACGCUGCAGUGCUGAGCACCUGCGCAGCGCACAGCCUAACAAAGGAGCUGCCUUAUUUAUUUAUUUCCGUGGCGGCUUUAGGUGCUUUCUCCCCUGCGGUUCCCACACAGGCAGCCUGGAUAGGGUCCGGUUCUGGGUAUGAUCGGUGCCCCCCGCCCCGUGGCUCGGGGUGGGGGGGGGUCUCAGGUGGUGCGUUCUGGCCGGGGCUGUGCCCGUCCUUAGGGGCGUACCUGCGUUCUGCAUCCCUGCAGGCAUCAGCCCUGCAGAGCACAAUGCAGAUUUAGUCGUCAUCUUUGUCUCCCCCCCCCCCGCCCCGCUCCGCUCCGCUCCCCGCUGAUGUUAACUGUCUGUAUUAUUAUUUAUUGUUAUCAAGGGAUUUGGUUUGAUCAAUGAAGUGUAUAUACGUCUGACGGACAUUCGGGGAGGAAAUGCUUGGAGAAUGAGUAACAUGUCUGCAGUGGAGGGUGUGUGUGAGGAGAGAGCAGCAUCGGUCCUAGAAACGUUGACUGAUGAGUUCAUUUUAAAAUCCAAGGGCAUCUAGCUGGUAAAUUAGCACAUAUUGCAAAUAUAGUCUGGUGCGAGAGGCAGCGGCUCUGCCAUCGAGCAGGGGGUGGGUGUGGAGGGGUGGGGGUCGAGGAGAGGAGAUCGUCAGCUCUAAAGUCACGGCGGGCAGGAGCCGGGCGGUCCGCCUGCCUCCACGCAGACGCGGGGCGUGCGAUUUCCACGGGCGGCUGCGGGCUGCAGUGUGGCGGGGAGGGGAACGGGAUGGGGGGGGGGGGGGAGCGAGCGAGAUAGCAGCGGUGGAUUUUAUUGUUUUAAAAUCCAGCUCCAGCCAGAGGGAUGCUCGGCGGAGAGCUGCGGUCCCACCACUCCCCCUUUCCCUCUCCACCCCCCCGCCUCCCACCCCCCCUUCUCCCCGCAGCCCCGCGGGAAGGUGCCGGCGGGGUCCCGGGGCCGCAGGCAGGGGAUGCCCGGCGGCGGCGGGGCCGGGGCGGCCGCGGCGGUUCCUCCCGGGAGCUUAAGGGAUUAUUGGGGAGGGGGGAGCGGGUCGGGGUGUUGCGCGAGGCUGGCGGCGGCGGCGGGGGGAGCCGGGUCCUUAUUCUGUUAAAGAUUUAAGUAGGCAUGCAAGGAAUCUCUAGGAUAGUUGGCAAAGGGCGAGGGUGGGGAGGGGGGGGGAAGGAUCCAAAAGAGUCUGUAACCAGACACUGAAGCUUUCCAGGAGUGAGAGUGUGUGAGAGAGACGGAGACAGAGCGAGAGGAAGAGAGGGGGCAGUGUGGUCUAGUACAUUUUCAUCUGGUCGUUGAUUUGAGCCUGAUGCUUGCUGUCCCUCAACAGCCUCCCUUGCCUGUAUUUUUUCUUUCCCCCUCUCCUCUCCUCUCCUUUCCCUUCUACUUCAUCGAAGCCUAGGGGAGCCAGUAAAGAUUAAAUGUGCUUUCUAAAAGGCAGCCACUUCAUGCAGCUAUGUCUGCUCUCCCCCCCCCCCAGCCCCCCCCUCCCCUCCACUCCCCCUUUUUCGAAAUUAAAAAAAAAAAAAACAAACAACAAAACAAAAAAAAAAAAAAAAAAAGAAGGGGGGAGAAGGAAGGAGGAGGAAGAGGAGGACUGUAGUUUAAUGAUGUCGGGACUGGCUGAUCCAGAAGGAGGAAAGAGGAGAAAAAAAAAAAAAAAAAAAGGAAAAAAAAAAAAAGAUUUUGAGAGCCUGGACGAGGAAGGACUUUGGUGAAUGGGCUCAGACUCCCGAGGUGGCAAGCUGGGGACGAAAUCCUGCUCUCGGUUAUGGCCGGCGUAAAUUUCCAUUGGCUGGGGUUGCACAAGGUGCUCGGAGAGGAGUCGGUGCGGGAUGGAGUCCCUUUGUGUGUGCGGAGCGGAGCGCGGCUGUGAGGUGGAGCAGCUGGCGGGGCUGUGGGUUCCUGCUGGCACCGUGCAGCUCUGCUCACCCACUGCCAACUGCACAGCGCUGCUGCCCGGCCCCGUUCCCAGCGCUCGGAAGGAAAGAGCAUCCCGGUUCUUCUUCACUCUUGGGAACACACACAUUGUUUCAAUAAUCCAGGCAAUAAAUGCUAAUUAGUAAUGCUUAAGGACCCUACCAGUCAGAGUCAUUACCAUAAUCUACCUCUUCCUUGUUAAAAACGCUCCUUGCUGCUUUAAAAUUUUGCCAGGCGAUGCUUUCUUUGCUCUUCCUUUGGAAAGCUCUCCCCGUUGUGUUAGCAAUGAGUGCAGCCCCGCUGCAGCACCGAGACAUUCUGUGGAGGCAAAGCAUGCUCUGCGUGUGGCAAAGGGGACCGGAGCUCGAGAGAAGUGCAUGGAGGUUUUCCCACAUGUCAGAUUUUCUUCUGAAGCAGAUAUUUUUGCUUUGCGUCCUUCUCUGCACCCUCCCCUCCCCAGCACCACCAAAACCCACUUACAGGGGGAGAACAAAGGAAAUCACGAACUAUAAAGGCAUCAUUAAGUGUGAGCAGCAACGGCGAGAUAGCGUGUGUGAUAUGACAACAUAUUUCACGGCACAAAAGUAGAGAUAAUUAAAUAAUUCAGCGGUAUUCUUAGCUAAUUAGCACGGAGAUCUUUCAGAAGCCAUCAGGAAAAUGGAUCUCAUCAAAUCUAAUAAUACGCUACAUUUCCCCACGAUGCUGUGUUUUCCAGCCUUGCUGCUCCUCCACCACCCCAUGCAGUAACACAAAAGGUUACAAAUAGUUGCACGUUUAAUUGGGCUGUUUUUCAGGAUCGUCUUUUCUGCACAAAAUGAUUCUCUCUUUAGAGGAGGGGGGGGAUAUAUAUGCGGCUGGAAUCUUCAAUGUUAGCCAAUAAAAAAGAAAAAUAAUAACAACAGUAGCUUCAUAAAAGCUGAAUGUGUUAAAAACGGUCCUUUAUUAUCAGCUAGGAGCCAUUUUGGGCUGGUUGCAAUGGGGCUGACUCACUUUGAGUUGGGCUCGGUGAAUUAACGCUGCUGUCCGAGAUCUUUUUAUAGAGUUAAUUGGGGACGUGGAUUGCCUGCUCUCUGAUUUUCCUGCCAUCGAGCAGCAGGUGGCAGAGCUGGGGUGGGGCCUGUGCCCUCUGCUCUGCGUGCUCUGCUCUGAUAUCAAGGCCCGUGGUACCAGCUGGGCAGAACGCAGUGCUCAUUGCUUCGGGUGUCUGGCAGCAUGGCUGUAGUUACGUGCCAUGCCAACGCUCCCUCCCCUGGCUGCACGAGCUGUGCAGCAGCAAGCAGUGGCUGUGUGUGCUCACGAGCCCCAGCUGGCAGCCUGCAGGUGUGCAGGGCAGCACGACGGGUACCUGCAGGGUGCUGGCAGUGCUGCUGAUCCCACGGCACGCUCCCAGGAAUCCGGUGCAUCAGAUGUUAGUCGGAGCAUCUCGUUAUAUGACCUCGAUCUGAGCGUAUAUCCACGUUCACGUGAUGCAUUUAGGAGCUGAUCUGCUGGCUGCGUUGGAUGCGCUCAGGUUAAGCACUGGUUCCGGCCUUUGCUCCGGUCCCAAACUGAGUGAUGGACUCUGGUGUUACAACCAUGCACGGUGCUGCUGGGGUGAGGUGCUCCGCCUCACUGUUACUCCUUUGCACGUGCAAGGAGGCUUUUCCUCCUCUGCAAUGAUGGAGACUGUUUCUUGUAGGGUGGGCGGAAGGAGUAUGAGGAGAAAAGGCAGCAGAAGGAAAUCAGCACACCUGCAGCAGUGCAGUAACUGCUGUCUGCAGGGUUGCAGUGCUUCACAGUGUACUUUCUUCUCCUAGGGGGGGGGUUCAGGUUGUGAGUAAGGUUACUGAAAUGCCAUGGGACCCUCUUAGGUCCCCCAGAUGUAAUUAUGAACAUGUUAUUUCUGUUAGCAAGUCACACAAAUUUUCCCCCAUUGUUUUGAGUUCCUUUUCUCUUGUGCCCUUCACCCAACUCUGUUAACUGUGUUACUAUCUGAGGACGUUACAGCCAAUUAAAAUUACACGUGUAUAUAUAUAUUCAAGAUGAAAGUUGAGUCUCUGAAUCACAAGGCAGGCCAAGCGGAAGGCUCAGACCGCGUGCUGCAGUUGUUGCUGUUGAGCAGCUCUUCCCAUCCAGCAGCCAAUGUCCCUCCGAUCCCCCGGGGCUGUGGUGCCCAGCACAGAACCCUUCAUUCCCAGUGCUCCUGCGUGCUGGGACCUCCAGCAGUGUCCCAACAGAGCGGGCUGAUGGAUGGGACACUGUAUCUCAAGUGUAUGUUCUUUGUAUCCUUAUGCAGUCUGGAUGGCGGGUGGUGGUCAGGAGGAGGGAGGGCGUAUAAGGGUGAGCGUAGGCUUUGCUGUGUAAUGUGUGCUUCUGUCCUUCAAGUAAGGCACAGCAUCCAGCAGCAAACGUCCCAGGAUGGUUUGUGCCACUUGUGGGCUCCGAGGGGUGGAUGGGCUCUGGCAAAACGUGCACGGACUGUCAGAGUGCUGCUGCUCAUCCCAAAUCCAACGUGCUGAGCCCACCUGGGCUGUGCGUGCUGUUGUGUGACUGCGGAAGAUGGGGCACAAAGGGCUCCUUGGGUGCUCUGUAUGGCACAGCAGAGGACGAGCCAAGCCAGCAUCUGAGAGGUCCCCAGCAGCUCCUGCAAGGCGCUGAACAACGUCUGCUGCUCCCCAAAGGCUGAAAGCACUCCCGGCCAUCACACGCCGCUCUCUUCGCUGCCGACGCCGCUUUUAAGAUGAAUGAUGUGAGAAAUGCUGCAAAGCAUCAGAGGUCGAGGAGCUGCCUCAGUGCACCGACACCGUUCUGCGUGGAGGCUGCGGCUCAGCUGAGCGCCCCUCCGGGGAGAGAGAGAAGUGGGGAAAAACGACAACCAGAAAAGAUUGGUGGACUUUGGUUUUCGUAUGCACCUGUGUUUGUAUCAUGCCUGAACCUGCAAAGAGUAACACGUGGUUAUUCGCAUGGAAUCCAGUAAAUGGUGAACCUGUAAAUCAGUGACCCGAAGUGUGCUUGUCUCAUUUGAUCCCCUCUCCCUUCCCCCAGGGUUCCCCCUUUGGAGCACCUGGAUGGAGUGCUUGGGGCUGGGGUGGGGAGGGCUGGGGGCAGAGCUCGGGGCACCCCAUGCACAGAGGGUCCGAAUUGGCCUCCAGUUGUUCGGGUGUGUUUUCCAUUCAUGGAUAUUCCGCAGGGCAAAGCGCUUUAAAAGAGAUUUUCCAACUUUUAAGGCCAAACUGCACUAAAAACCGGUGGGGUCUGUAUUUCUCUCUCUGACAUUUCACAGGUAAUUCACGAGGAACAGUGCGGCUUGGGCAUAAUUCUUUUCUCCUACCUCUCCCUUUGAUCUUUCCCACAUGAUCUCCCAUCCCGUGUGCAGCUUUCGGGCUUUAAUGUGGAUUUUGAAAGAUGCUUCAGCAGAACUGGAGAAGGAGGGAAGCCACGGCUCUGCAUUGCUGAUGCUCUGCUUGCUGAUGCUCUGCUUGCUGCCAUUAUGUCAGUGCACGGUUCCUUUUGCAAUACAUGAAGAGUUACAAACAAUAAACAUGUAAGCACAUGGCAUUUGUUGCAUUUGCCAGAAGUGUGCAAUGAAACCUAAAGUCCCCAUAUUCCUUGCACAGCCAAAUGCUCCUUUGUCUCACGGUCAUAGCAUACGAGCUGACACUGCAAAGACAGACAAGUAGAAAUGCUCUAUUUUUUUCUCCUUGCCCUGUUUUAGGAAGAACUGUCCCCAAAUCCCACCCACAACAAGCACAACCCUCUGGCCAUAGUGCCUGCAUGGAGAGCCCGAUGGCUGGGAAUCCAUGCAGUGAAUGUGGGGGGCUGCAGCCAGCAGAAUUGAGCUCCAGGGGCAGAACGAAGGCUUAAAGUCAAUGUCCUGUGAGGGAUUCUCUGAGUCCUUGCACAGAACGUGGUGGGACAGCAGGGAGGUGUGAUUGCAC
ensembl:lncRNA